rnacentral:lncRNA from 1 species
CAACCACUACACAAAAACCUAUGGCGCUUCUUGGGUUGGGAUUUUGAGAUUGAACCCUAGGCGUUUCCUAAGCAAAACGAAUUCUUAUUCCUAUAAUAAACCCCAGACUCCAGGUGGCCAGUCCUCAUUGUUCUCACAGUGCUGUGUAAGUCAGCCUUCAAAAGUGCCCUCUGGAUACUGGCAAAUCUGACCACAUCUUCUAGAUAAAUAGGGGUGCGGAAGUGUGCCAACAUGCAGCUGUUCCUGCCAGCAAAUCCAAGAGACUAUUACU